GCCGCCACUAGCUCAGCUGGAUAGAGCAUCAACCUCCUAAGUUGAUGGUGCGAGGUUCGAGGCCUCGGUGGCGGUCCAA
rnacentral:tRNA from 17 species